ensembl:snRNA U6 U6 spliceosomal RNA
AUGUUCACUUCAGCAGCACCUACACUAAAAAUUGGAAUGAUACAGAAAAGAUUAGCAUGACCCUUGCACAAGGAUGAUACAAAUUCCUGAAUUUUUGUGACUGUGG